ACUGAGUUAUUUCCUCGUGGAUGAUUAUUAUUUCAGUUUCCUCCCCAGUUAAUUAUCUGGAUCGAACCACUCCCCUUGAGUUAUAUCCUUAUUUGGGUUGAGUCCUUGUUUGACCAUUUUUUUCUAGCUCUUACCUAGAUAGAUAUCUUGGUCUCCUGGGAGUCUAUUACCCAGUAAUUGGUAAUUCUCUUCUCGUUUU
rnacentral:lncRNA from 1 species